rnacentral:rRNA from 1 species
AGAUACCCCGUGUAGUCCAGGGUGUAAACGCUGCAGACUUGGUGUUGGAAGUCCCUUUUGGGGGGCAUUCAGUGCCGGAGAGAAGUUGUUAAGUCUGCUACUUGGGAGUACGUCCGCAAGGAUGAAACUUAAAGGAAUUGGCGGGGAGCACCGCAACGGGAGGAGCGUGCGGUUUAAUUGGAUUCAACACCGUAAAACUCACCAGGGAAGACUGUUACAUGAAAGCCGAGAUGAAGACUCUGCUAGAUUUUCAG